rnacentral:lncRNA from 1 species
UCCAUCACAACCUCCUUCCUCCUUUCCCUGGGACCGAAAAAACAGCCUGAUUAAGAAAACCCCCUUUGAGAGAAAGAGAGAGGGAGGGAGCAAGAGAGAGGGAGGGAGGGGGAAGGGAGGAAGGAGGGUGAGAGAGGGAGGGAAGCAGAGAGAGCCCCUUUGGAUUUUUAAAAUAAAGGUCUAAUUAUCAUUCCCUUGCAGUAGUAUCACAGAGAGAAAGGAACCAAGACCCACAGUCACUUUAAACGGGCUGAUUAUUUUGUUUGGGUAUUAACUCCUCCGGAUUUGUUUGAGAUCCUGUUGGAAAAUCUCAUUUGCAUGCUUUGAUAACAGCUGAGGGCAAACUUGUUGGGGGGGGGGAGAAUGCACAUCUAUAACAAUCAAACCUUCUUCUGCUGCCCCGCCCCCGGCAACUUUUCCUGCAGAUUUGUUUUGGCGAAGAGCACAGGGAGAGACUGAGACAGAAAAGCAAAAGAGCAAGCCCAUUAAAGCUCGUUUGGCUCUGUAGAGACAGCCUAUUAAAUAAUGUAAUAAAAUAACAAGAGCGAUAAUAACUGGAGGCGCUCUACGUUCUAAAGGCAGCUUGGAGAGAUCCAGAAGUCUUCAGCUUCGAAUGGAUUCGAGACUUUCGCUGCCACCAGAAAUCUCCAGGCUUCGGACCGCAGAAAACUUACAUACUUAUUAAACAGAAGGAAAACCCGUCCUGGUCGUUCCCCUACCCUUCCAACGGGUGAAAUUUCUUAGGUGUGGCCGAGGUCGCUUUCCCAGGAGACGAAGGUUAGCACAGAGGCUGUCCAAAUUCGGAGCAGACAGGAGCACCCUGGCUGAGAGAGCUGGGGGAGCUGGGGGGUAGGCUCUGUGCUAAUCUGUGUCCAGCCGGGUGCGGUCCUGGAAGACAGAGUCCGAGGACGCCGGGGUCCAAGUCUAUGGACCAGGCUUGACAGAGGACAGAGAAGUGCUGGCGGUGUUUUCAUGACCUGUUGGAAUCUGGUAACAGCUUUAAUAGUCUCAUUAGGAAUGAGUUACUAUAUGGCCAAUUUUCUGUGUGCAGUACCAAAGGAAAGCCUAUAUGGAUAUCUCAUGGUACCUCAGACUCCGAGACACUGAAGUAUUUCAAAGGUAACUUAAUGUUAUGUCCGUUGUCUCCUGGCAGUUUCUUCCUUUGCUUGCUUCCUUUUGACUUCCUCUAGGAUGGCAUUUUAGACUAUUGUGGAGGGUGUCUCAAGUCUCACAGGGACUGGAGGAGUAAAUCUAAGAUUCAUAUAUGAAAGUUCUGUGUUGACUUUUAGAUCCUCUGUGACAAGAUGCUUUUGGGGACUCAAUUCCUGGACUCCUCUUUGACAAUUUUAUUGAUUAAGGAGUGUUUCAAAUUCUCUCUUAAUAUUCAGGCUUGUUGGUAAAUCUUAUCCAGAACUGCUCAGUCUCAGCCAGCUGGGUUCUGCUUCCCUGCAACCAGAUCUUUGCAGGUCUCCUAACUCCUCCCACAAACACACCAUGCAGGUCUAAUAGCUCAGCCUAGCUGUCUUCCUUACACCCCUAACCUCAUUCUGCACCACAGAGAAUGCAAAAUUCUGGGUCUUUCUCAUACUCUGGAGAUGAGGAAGUCAUUCAUAGGUAACUCAGGACUCAUAAACAAGCCAGCUCUUCCCACCAACUCUAUUGUGAUUCAGGAUAGAGUUCUGUAAGGCCAUGACUUUUCAAAGAUCUGAAUGGAAAGAGGGUUUUUGAAAAGACCUUGGAAUUGGCAGGACACCCUGUAAAGAGAAUGUCUGAGGCUAAACAUUCACUCCUCCUCUCUCCCCCUUUUUCAGUUCAGUUGGCUGGUGAGGCAGUGUCACCCUCAUCUGUACAGACACAAUUUAUGUUUUGUGAAAUUUCUCUGCUAUUGGAAAGCUGAUAUUGAAAUAGUAUGUCCUAAUUCCUAAUGAUAUAUAGGGGCUUAAAAAUUAGAAAUGUGUUUUGUUUUUCCCAAUGCUUGCCUUCUAGGAAUGUAAUCAUAAAAAUAUGAUUCAAAGUCCAUCCCAUGUUCGGUCAAUUGUUGAGUUCUCAGCU